UGGGGAAUAUUGGACAAUGGGGGCAACCCUGAUCCAGCCAUGCCGCGUGAGUGAAGAAGGCCCUAGGGUUGUAAAGCUCUUUCAGUCGUGAAGAUGAUGACGGUAGCGACAGAAGAAGCCCCGGCUAACUCCGUGCCAGCAGCCGCGGUAAUACGGAGGGGGCUAGCGUUGUUCGGAUUUACUGGGCGUAAAGCGCACGUAGGCGGAUCGAUCAGUCAGGGGUGAAAGGCCUGGGCUCAACCCGGGAACUGCCUUUGAUACUGUCGAUCUUGAAUCCGGGAGAGGUAAGCGGAAUUCCAAGUGUAGAGGUGAAAUUCGUAGAUAUUUGGAAGAACACCAGUGGCGAAGGCGGCUUACUGGACCGGUAUUGACGCUGAUGUGCGAAAGCGUGGGGAGCGAACAGG
rnacentral:rRNA from 1 species